UCGCGGCGGCGGGGUGCCCAGGGAGCGGGUGUGGCCUCCGCGGGCUUCAACCCUUCCUCUGCCCUUGUUUACGCGCGGGCAAUGUCACCCCCGCCGCGUGACGUUGCCGCCCGGGGACCUCUUCCAGGAAGCGAGGACUCCGCUCCUUACUGGCUGUUGGCCAGACUAGCCUUCCAAAGGAGCCCAGAUCAGGGCCAGGCAUUCCCUCAAGAAGAGGAGGGGAGUGGACACCUAGAGGAUCCCCAAGGCUGGACCAGAAACGAGCAGAGAACCCGAGCUGUGAGGACCACGCCCCUGCCCAGCUGAUUGCCCCAGCGGGGAUUCUCCUUCUCGUUAGGCGGCACGCUCGGUCAAUUAAGCCAGCAUGGAUCUGAUACAAAGUAUCCUGGAGUAGUCCAGAUUGGGGAAGGCAAGUUGCUGAAGACCCUUGGAGAGGGGGUAACCAACCCCAAGGGCAGGAACCAGACCUUGAUGAUGUCCAGAAGAUGAACAGGACAAAGGUCAUAAGAUUUCAGUGAACUCGAAAGAAAUAAAGUGAACAAAAGUAAA